rnacentral:rRNA from 1 species
GACGAACGCUGGCGGCGUGCUUAACACAUGCAAGUCGAACGGAAAGGCCCUGCUUUUGUGGGGUGCUCGAGUGGCGAACGGGUGAGUAACACGUGAGUAACCUGCCCUUGACUUUGGGAUAACUUCAGGAAACUGGGGCUAAUACCGGAUAGGAGCUCCUGCUGCAUGGUGGGGGUUGGACAGUUUCGGCGGUUGGGGAUGGACUCGCGGCUUAUCAGCUUGUUGGUGGGGUAGGGGCUUACCAAGGCUUUGACGGGUAGCCGGCCUGAGAGGGUGACCGGCCACAUUGGGACUGAGAUACGGGCCAGACUCCUACGGGAGGCAGCAGUGGGGAAUAUUGCACAAUGGGCGGAAGCCUGAUGCAGCAACGCCGCGUGCGGGAUGACGGCCUUCGGGUUGUAAACCGCUUUCGCCUGUGACGAAGCGUGAGUGACGGUAAUGGGUAAAGAAGCACCGGCUAACUACGUG